GCAUACAGAGACCAAUUACAUGGAUCCGGACAGUCAAGGACUGAACUUACCGGAGAGUCCGUUUGCAUCUCCAAUCGCUAGCAGCAUUUCUACAGUUAUAUAGGUUCAGCACGCAGAAGAAAUAUAGAGUUACCUGAACAAAGGCAACUGCAACAUCUUCGGUUUGAUACGUAACAGCACCUUUUUUUCGCGUUUUUCCUUCCGUCUUCUCUUAACUUGUUCACCAAGGUUUACA
rnacentral:misc_RNA from 1 species